CUGGCUACAUAGUGGUACCGUCCACUAUAAUAAAACGGAUAUACAUCAUGCAUAGGAUCUAUAUACUAAUGAAUAUACUUUGUGCACGUCCCACUCCUGGUGGGCGAUGUAGGCGUGGCAAUGAAUGAAUGAAUGAAUUAUUUUAUCCUAAUUUACUUUGUAGAAACAAUGAAGACUAUAGUAGAAGUUGAAUAUUGCUCAAGAUGAGGUUACGAAGGCAAAUUUAAAAAACUGAAGGAUGCUAUUCUUAAAGUUGAUCCUCAAGCAGAAGUUACUGGUAGUGUUGGUCGUGUAUCGUCAUUUGAAAUCAAGAUUAAUGGGAAACUUAUAUUUUCCAAGCUUUCAAAUGGUAAUUUUCCUGAUCAAAAUAAGGUAUUGGCUCAUUUAUUGAAUGCAUCCAAAGGGCUACCUGUCAGCAAACUUGAAUAAUAAAUGAAUAUGAAAAAAUACAAAUUAUCCACUGGAAUUGUUUACAAAAAAUUUAUUGGUAAUCAAGAAUUAAUAUGACGAAACGUUUUAGUCAAACAUUUAUGAUUAACGUUUUUGAGCAAAAUAAAUUUCAAUUAUUUUUGGAAUUUAAACUAAUUGUUACCAUUAUUUUAAAAACGUUUUAUUAGUUUUCAUUGCUUUUUUAAAUGCUUACAUACACGUAUAAUUUAUCUUGCGCAUUAUAAUUGUAAUUAACU